GAUGAACGCUGGCGGCGUGCCUAAUACAUGCAAGUCGAGCGAACAGACGAGGAGCUUGCUCCUCUGACGUUAGCGGCGGACGGGUGAGUAACACGUGGAUAACCUACCUAUAAGACUGGGAUAACUUCGGGAAACCGGAGCUAAUACCGGAUAAUAUAUUGAACCGCAUGGUUCAAUAGUGAAAGACGGUUUUGCUGUCACUUAUAGAUGGAUCCGCGCCGCAUUAGCUAGUUGGUAAGGUAACGGCUUACCAAGGCAACGAUGCGUAGCCGACCUGAGAGGGUGGUCGGCCACACUGGAACUGAGACACGGUCCAGACUCCUACGGGAGGCAGCAGUAGGGAAUCUUCCGCAAUGGGCGAAAGCCUGACGGAGCAACGCCGCGUGAGUGAUGAAGGUCUUCGGAUCGUAAAACUCUGUUAUUAGGGAAGAACAAAUGUGUAAGUAACUAUGCACGUCUUGACGGUACCUAAUCAGGAAGCCACGGCUAACUACGUG
rnacentral:rRNA from 1 species